rnacentral:rRNA from 1 species
GAUGAACGCUGGCGGCGUGCCUAAUACAUGCAAGUCGAGCGAACAGAUAAGGAGCUUGCUCCUUUGACGUUAGCGGCGGACGGGUGAGUAACACGUGGAUAACCUACCUAUAAGACUGGGAUAACUUCGGAAAACCGGAGCUAAUACCGGAUAACAUAUUGAACCGCAUGGUUCAAUAGUGAAUGGCGGCUUUGCUGUCACUUAUAGAUGGAUCCGCGCCGUAUUAGCUAGUUGGUAAGGUAACGGCUUACCAAGGCAACGAUACGUAGCCGACCUGAGAGGGUGAUCGGCCACACUGGAACUGAGACACGGUCCAGACUCCUACGGGAGGCAGCAGUAGGGAAUCUUCGGCAAUGGGCGAAAGCCUGACGGAGCAACGCCGCGUGAGUGAUGAAGGUCUUCGGAUCGUAAAACUCUGUUAUCAGGGAAGAACAAAUGUGGAAGUAACUGUGCACAUCUUGACGGUACCUGAUCAGAAAGCCACGGCUAACUACGUG